GGUACGGUGGCUGACGCGAGGCCGGUAAAAGGGCCAGCGUCAAACCCCCGGUCGCCCGGCCGAAUGCCCGGCGGUACACGCAAAUAUCAACCCGCAGCUCACUGUGUGUCGAGGCCGUCGCAAACACGCGCCACGAUACACGGACAUCCAACGGUCCUAUCGCCGUUACCGGUCCUGGCCCGCUCCUGGCACGUACGGUUAACCUUAGACAGGCCCGCAAACGCGUCCCCCGCCGCGUUCGCGCGCGCGUGGGAACCGCGAUACCGGUCAGCGAAGCUACUGCUUUGGGUACUCUUAGGACCCGUCUUGAAACACGGACCAAGCAGUCUAACAUGUACGCAAGUCAUUGGGACUUGUAAUGGUAUACCUAAAGGCAAAAUGAAAGAGGUGGUCGGCCCUGGUUGUCGACCAAGGGAGGAUGGGCCGCGUCGCGAUGCGGCUCCGCACUCAAGGGUCUCUCGUUAUCAUCGCGAGAAGAGGCGCACCCAGAACGUACACGUUGGGACCAGAAAGAUGGUGAACUAUGCAUGGUCAGGACGAAGUCAGGGGAAACCCUGAUGGAGGUCCGUAGCAAUUCUGACGUGGAGAAUAGAUCAUUGGAACUGGGUAUUGGGGCGAAAGACUAAUCAAACCAUCUAGUAGCUGGUUCCCUCCGAAGUUUCCCUCAGGAUAACUGGCACUCGAUCGUUCCCGCACGAAACGCAAACGAGUCUCAUCUGGUAAAGGGAAUGAUUAGAGGCCGUGGAGCCGAAACGAACUCAACCUAUUCUCAAACUUUAAAUGGGUGAGAUGUCUGGCUUUCUUGAAAUUUGAAGCCACGAGCAUCUUAAUCUUGGAUCAGAGUGCUAAGUGGGCCAUUUUUGGUAAGCAGGACUGACGCUGUGGAAUGAACCAAACGCAGGGUUAAGGCGCCCAACUCGACGCUCAUGGGACACAAUGAAAGACGUUGGUUGCUUAAGACAGCAGGACGGUGGCCAUGGAAGUCGGAAUUCGCUAAGAAGUGCGUAACUCACCUGCCGAAGCAAUUAGCCCUGAAAAUGGAUGGCGCUGAAGGGUCGAGCCAUUUCUCUGCCGUCAGCGGCAGGUGGGGCGGUGCGAGCGCGCGAGCGCGAGCGCCGUCACGAGGCUCUGACGAGUAGGAGAUUCGCGGCGGUGUGCGCAGAAGGGUCUGGGCGCGAGUCUGCCUGGAGCCGCCGUCGGUGCAGAUAUUGGUGGUAGUUGCAAAUACUCCAACGAGGCUUUGAAGGACUGACGUGGAGAAAGGUUUUGUGUAAACAGCCGUUGCACACGAGUUAGUCGAUCCUAAGUCGUAGGAGAAAUCCUAUAUCAAUGACGGCGUACUUAUACUCUAAUGUUUACCACCGUCUCUUCUCGCACCCUCGGUGCCUUCUCUGUCGCGCGCGAAGCGCGCGCCCGUGUGCCGGGCGACUCUGUACGUCGCGCUAAAUAACGAGAGUGGGGCAAGGCGAGGUGUGCGAGCGCGAGCUCACGUGUGUGACACACGCCCGUCGGGUGAAAGAGAAUACGGUUCCUAUUCCGGAACCCGGCAGCAGAACCGCAUACAAUUCGGGCCCUCGUAAGAGUGUUCAUCGGGGUAACCCAAAAUGACCUGGAGACGCCGUCGGGAUAUCCGGGAAGGAUAUUCUUUUCUGUAUAAGCGUUCGUGAUCCCUGGAAACCUCUUGCAGGGAGAUAGGGUUUGGAACGCGAAGAGCACCGCAGUUGCGGCGGUGCUCGUAUCAUCCCCUUGGACCUUGAAAGUCUAGAAGAGGACCACGUGGAGGUGUCGCGCCGGUUCGUACACAUAUCAGCAGCAGGUCUCCAAGGUAAAGAGCCUCUAGUCGAUAGACUAAUGUAUGUAAGGGAAGUCGGCAAUUUGGAUCCGUAACUUCGGAAUAAGAAUUGGCUCUGAAAAGCGGGGCGUGUCGUGCUUGGUCGGAAAGCGGGUCUGGCUGACGUGCUGGGCCUGGAUGAGGUGAGCGCUUGGCCUUCUCGCUCCGAACACGGGAUCCGAGCUCGGUCCGGUGCUUUGGCCUCCCGCAGAUCUUCCUUUCUGCGAGGCUUCCAUGGCGGCGCGAGCCGUAGCGGUCGUCCUCUUCGGCCGCCAUUCAACGCUC
rfam:Solenopsis invicta Si_gnG.contig89177, whole genome shotgun sequence.